GACGAACGCUGGCGGCGUGCCUAAUACAUGCAAGUCGAACGCACUCUCGUUUAGAUUGAAGGAGCUUGCUCCUGAUUGAUAAACAUUUGAGUGAGUGGCGGACGGGUGAGUAACACGUGGGUAACCUGCCCUAAAGUGGGGGAUAACAUUUGGAAACAGAUGCUAAUACCGCAUAAAACCUAACACCGCAUGGUGUAGGGUUGAAAGAUGGUUUCGGCUAUCACUUUAGGAUGGACCCGCGGUGCAUUAGUUAGUUGGUGAGGUAAAGGCUCACCAAGACCGUGAUGCAUAGCCGACCUGAGAGGGUAAUCGGCCACACUGGGACUGAGACACGGCCCAGACUCCUACGGGAGGCAGCAGUAGGGAAUCUUUCCACAAUGGACGAAAGUCUGAUGGAGCAACGCCGCGUGAGUGAAGAAGGUUUUCGGAUCGUAAAACUCUGUUGUUGGAGAAGAAUGUAUCUGAUAGUAACUGAUCAGGUAGUGACGGUAUCC
rnacentral:rRNA from 1 species